GUGUGCAUGGUGUUGUACUGAAUGUAUUGAUCUAUGCCACAGCUUGAUCACACUUUACACGCUAACGAUUCGUGUAUUCGAUAUUAAGGAUUGCAAUGUGAAGAUGAUGAUCCGGACCACCCAAGUGUUCUGAAACUGUUCCGACCACAACUCCAGCCAAAAAGGCUAUCCUAGCCUCCCUGACCAAAGCAAUCCAUCCUUGACUUUGCUUCCGAAUACCACCCAUGAUCAACGCCUUGAGAGAUCCUUGUCUAUUUUUAGAAACUAUCUGGUUUCCUCAUACCUACCAGUUGGCUGAAGUAUAAUAGAGGAGAGCAAUGGAGGAUGCAAAUGGGAAGAAAAUCAGAGUUGAUGGAGGCACUGCUUCCUUUAAACUGUUACAUGGAACAGAAUAUGACAGGUGCUACUUGCAAGUUACUAUCUAAGCUGCUCAUCAUCCUGACUUGAAAUUUGAGUGUCGCUAAGUCGAAAUUCUGAAACACCCUCCCGAACAACAUUGUGGGUAUACGAAUACUAUACAGAAUGAAGUGAUUCAAGAAAAUAGCUCACCACAUCAUCUUCUAAAGUGUAACCUGAAGUAGGAAAUAAAAUCUAGUCAGUGAAUGGAAAAGUAAUUUCCCAAACUCUUACUCAUUUUACCUGCAACUUUUGAGUUUGAAUCUCAAGUUUUUUUUUGACGCCACCAUAGUGCUAAAAUGUCCCUAAUUAAAGCCAGAAAUACUACCCUCUAUAACUGUGACGUGCUAUAGUAUCUCUUCUUACUUUUCCUCACCCUCUGACACAGCAGGUCAGAUCAAUUUCCUCUAAUGAAGCACCUCUUCACUGUGUAGAUGUGUGUGAAUUCUCUUGCUUAGUUCCACUCUUAAAUAUAUGAUUGUAACCAGAUCAUCUCCUUACAUAGUGUCUCUUCCUGCCCCUGUCCACUAACUCUGGAAUUCCAUAAGGAUUUACCUUUGAUCCACUCACUUUCCUGACCUAUAUGGUGUUUCGUGCAGACAUCAAAGACAUAUUAAGAGGUUUCACAUGCACGCCAGUGAUACCCUGUCACUUCUCUAGACUUUGUGUUUGAUCUACAGUUUUGAAGGAGCUACAAUUGCUUUCAGUUAAAAACAGUAUUCAGACAUUAUCGCAAACAGGAUUCCCACUCUUUUUCAUAUCCCAAAAGGCCCUUUUUGAGGAUGUGUCUGUUUUGAUUCAUAAGAGAACAGGAUUGGAUUGAAAUACGAGUCCCGUUGCAAAACAGCCCAUCAGUACUUCCUGUUUGGUGUCCCACACUAAGAAAGACCAUUUGUCCGAGGUACGGGUGGAACAAUUUUUCAACAAGAGUUAAUUCUUUUGGUUGAAAACCAAUAAAAAAUAAAAUUCUCUUUCUCUCCUCCUAACCAUCAGUGAUCGAAAAUAUUUAUUAUGCAAACUGCUGGACCACUUAUAAUAGCCUUACCAAAGGAACUCUGACUCAUAUGUAAGCUUUCAGCCAGUUUAACAGAAGUAAUCUUCACGUUACGUUGAAGAGUCUCAAUUUCCCCUACAAAGAGACUUUCUUGUGAGAAAGGAAUUUGUUUAAAAAGGUAAAACACAGAGCUAACUCUAUGAGUAUAUUCAGCAGCAGGAGAUCUGAACUGCGGGAUUACAAUCUUAAAAACCCAUCAGCAGCAAAUUUGGCUAAGUCUGAUUCUCAAACUUAAAUGUAUACAAUUAUUUUAGUACCAUUGUUUAAAAUGGUUCAAUGGUAAAAAAUGUAUCCCCAAAAUUCAAAACAAUUAAUUUAGGAAAUAGUCUAAACCUCUUGUACCAAUCUUACGUUAUCAAUAUCUUGUUGUUCCAUAUGGUUAUUUUAUUAAUUAGCUUUUGUUCUGUACAAGAGUUGAGUUAUAAAUGCCCAUCUCUCAUUCAUCAUUAAAUCUUAAUGGUAAGUGCAAUGCUGCUUGCAUGCUUGUAAUUCAACAUUAUUCUAUUCAGUAUUACUAAUAUGUGUUCACAAAAUAGUAGUAGAUGUGCACUGUUGAAAAACUUCAGCAAAUUUUGGAAGCAAGUACAAAUGUUUGGUAUUCAAACAAUGAGAUACCCAACUUGAACUUCACUCCUGAGUAAAUUGAAUCUUCUCAAGCUUUUUUGUUUCAGUAAAUGUCCCAGCAUGUUGUUAAUGAAUUUUUUUAAUUAAACUACAAUAAACAAGUAUUCUGAUAUAUGUUUGGAAUACAUCUUUCAGAUUAUCUGGCAACAAUUUGCAACAGGGGCUGGCUGUUAGCUGGAGGACGGCACGGGCAAUUGAUUGUUUCCA